GGGAAUCUUCUAGAUAUCUUAUUGUUUUGAAUUUCUAAUUAAAUACUACUGUGGCCAUAGCAUAUACUCUGUAUGAUUUUGAUCCUUGUGUAUAUAUUGAGACUUGUUUUAUGGUGCAGCAAAAGGUCUGUGUUGGUGAACAUCCCAUAAACACUUGAAACGAAUGCUUUCUGCAGUUGUUGGAAGUAAUAUUCUACAAAUGAUUUGCUUUGAAACCCCACUCUAGGUCUUGCCCUCCUCCCAUGUUGAAAACAUUCAACUGCUACUUGGGACCUGACUACCAAUGCUUCAAACCCACUUGCCUAGAAAAGGUUGGCCCUGUGCUGCAAGAUGUAGCAGCUUGUUCUCCGAUAGCUACAGGCCCUGGGUCUUGCUGAGACAUGUGGAGCACUAUCUGAACCACCCAGGUGCAUCACACACCUUUGCCUGCUAUAGCACAUGCUAGAGUGCACCUUACAGAUCCCAUCACCUUUCGGAUGGGGCCAGACAUUCCCUAUGCUGUUGAGAGUUCUGGAGGCUGAUAGAUUUCAGCCAGUGUCUCUUGGAGUCUCUGAGUGGAACCGAUAAAUAAAAGCCCUAAAGAAAGUGAGAAAUUAAACAAAGGGCAAGACUGAUGGGGGCCACACUACUAAAUUUCUUUUGUUUUUAAACAGCUUUACUGAGGUAUAAUUGACAUAACAUUCGCUUGUUUUAAGUGUGCAGUUAAAUUAUUUUCAGUAAAAUUUUAGACUUGUGUGACCAUCACCAUGAUCCUGUUUUGCAACAUUUCUAUCAUUCCUAAGAAAUCCCCUAUGUUCAUCAGUCACCACCACUUUUUCCCAGUCCCCAGCUCCAGGCAACCUCUAAUUGACUUUCUGACUCUACAGAUUUGCCUUUUCUGGAGACCAUAUAAAUGAAAUCAUGCAAUAUGUGGUCUUUUGUAUCUGUCUUCUUUCAUUUACUUUAAUAUACUUUUAUGGUUCAUGUAUGUGGCAGCACAUAUCAAUAUUUUAAUCCUGUUAGGGGACAAAUCCUAUUAAAUUGUAUGGAUAGCUCCCAUUAGUUUAUUCAUUUAUCAGUUGAUACAUAUUUGAGUGUUUCUACUUUAUGGACAAUUAUGGAUAAAGUUGCUAUGAAUAUUCACAUUCAUGUGUUGUGUGGACAUAGGUUUUUUUCUUCUGGGUAGAUAGCUAGAAGUGAUAGUGCUAGGUCAUAUGGUAAAUAUAUCUUCAACAUUUUAAGAUACUGCCAAACUGGUUUCCAACGUGACUGCAUGUCCCAUCAACAAUGCGUGAGUGUUUUAGUUUUUCCACGUCAUUAUUUCACUUCCCCCAGGUGUUACUGUCCUUUUUUAUUAUAGCAUUCUAGUGGGUAAGAAGUGGUGUCUCACUGUAGUUUUGAUUUGCAUGUCCCUGCUGACUGAUGAUGCUGACCAUCUUUUCAUGUAUUUUAUUGUCUAUUCCUACACCUUUUUGAUGAAAUGGUUAUUCAAAUAUUUUGCCUAUUUUAAAAUUGGGUUAUUUAUCUUUUUGUUGCGUAGUUGUAAGUGUAUUUCAUAUUCUGGAUAUGAGUCCUGUAUUAAAUAUAUGAUUUGAAUUUUUUUUCUCAGUCAAAAAAAAAAAAAAAAAAAA
rnacentral:lncRNA from 1 species